CGCCUGAGGGAGCUGGGGGGUUUAGCCUGGAAAAAGGAGCUUCGGGGGAACCUUAUCGCUCUCUGCGACUGGCUGAGGGAGGGCUGCAGCCAGCUGGGGUUCGGCCUCCUCUCCGGCAGCCAGCAGCAGAACAAGAGAACAUGACAAGAGUCAUAAACUGUGCUAGGGGAGGAUUAGGCUGGACACGAGAAGGAAUUUCUUCACAAGGAUGGUUAGGUAUUGGAAUGGGCUGCCCAGGGAGGUGGUGAAGUCACCCUGGAGGUGUUUGAGGAGAGACUGGACGUGGCACUUGGUGCCAUGGUGUUUGGUCAUAGGCUGGAGGGAUCUCAGGGGGCUUUUACAGCCUAAUUGAUUCUGUGAUUGUGAGCGAGCCCCUUUGACCGCCGCUGGACCUGAGCUGGAAGCAGCUGGGGGAUCAUUUGUUCAGCCACAGCAGCAGUCAGCAAAGGCUGCUGCAAAUGCAGAGUUUACACAGGUCUCAGGGAGCCUGAGCAGGUGCUUCAAAGAGAAUGUAAUCCAUGGCUACUGAAGUAGCAGGCUGCAUCGGAUUUGGGAAAUGGUCUGAGCUGAAAAUAGAUGGAGGCUUGGACAGACAUAAUUCCUCAGCUUUUGUUUUUUGCCAGAUGUUCCCUUAUAGCCAGAAGCAGAUGUGGAAGUAGGUGGAUCCUUCUAGUGGUGCAGUUUAUUCUAAUCAGGAUGUAACAGGCUUGCUAGUGUAGCGGAGAUACCUCUGUCCUAGGCUUUCUGUUUCUUUUGUGAAAAAACACACCCAGAAAGAUGGCAUGCAGAGAGAAACAGAAACUUUGUUUCCAUACAGAAUGCCUGUGAAAAUUCUCCGUGGGCUUUAAGAGGUCUGUGACUUGGACUCAGCUGAAGAAUUGUAGCCCUGAAAUGUGUGUCCAUGUGAAAGGAAUAUUUAAGGGUUGGCCUGGUUUAACUCCUGUAGCAACUAAACCCACAGAGGCUGCCUAUAGCAGGAUGGGGGAGAGAAUCAGAAGCGUGAAAGUGAGAAAGAUCAGGGGUUGAAAUAAAUAUAAGGAAAAAAAAAGAAUUUAUUUACUAUUUCCCAUUGGCAGGCAGGUGUUUAGCCAUUUCCAGGAAAGAUGGGCUUUGUCAUUCACAACGGUGACUUGGGAAGAAAAACACCAUAACUCCAAAUGUCCCCUCCUUCUCCCAUUUUUUAUUGCUGAGAACAAUGUCAUCUGGUCUGGGAUAUCCCUUUGGUCAGUUGGGGUCAGCUGUUCGAGCUUUGUGCCCUGACAAAUUCCUGUGCACCACCAGCUGCUCACUGUCAGGGCAGCAUGAGAAGCAGAAAAGGUCUUGGUGCUGUGCGAGACCUAUUCAGCAUUAGCCAAAGCAUGCCAAUGUUUCCAAUACUGUUUAGGUCACAAAUGCAAAAUGCAGCACCCUACAAGCUACCACUAUGAAAAUUAACUAUCUCAGAGAUGCCUGAAAGAUAGGCUGGAAAUAAAUCCCCAUAGACUGAUGUUUAUAGAGCAGGUAUUUGUUUAUUUCAGUGCUGGUGGUGAAGGGGAUACCUCCUCCUAACUCACCCACCCUUGUCUGUGCUGUGGUAUAUUUAUACAGUAAGGUUGUUUGGUAUCACUAUGUCACUACAACAUCAUCACAUAGGUGCCAGAACUAAUUUGCAUAGUAUGAUCUCAUGGUAAUUAGAUCAUUCAUUUGCACUAUGCUUGCAUCUCCCCAAUUUGGGGGUUGUCAGGGGUCUUUGAUGAAGGCUUCCAAGGUCUGCUUUGCAUUUGAACUUUUCAACUUUGUCUUCGGAGAAUGUGCAGUUACGCUGUUCCUUGGUCUGUCUGGUCUUAACUGGCCUAAACUCUUUGUUUUGUGGCUAAUUGGCUUUCCACUUGCCAAUUUUUCAUUAGUACUAUACUUAUCCAUCUCUAAAACUAUCCACCUGGCAAGUUUUUUCUUCUUUUUUUUUGUCUAUUCAGCAUUAAGCAACUAGUUAACCAUAUACUAGCCAUUAUAUUGUAUAAAAGUUAUGAUUCAGGGUAUAUAAGUACCAGGUUAUAUGGAUAUAUAAAAGUCGUGAUUUAGGUUAUAUUAACAUCAGGUUAUAUGGACAUAUAAAAAGUCAUGAUUUAGCUUAUAUUGAUAUCUUAUAACUCAAGUUAUAUAAGCACCUUAUAACUUUGAUCUGUUACAUAGGCAUCAUCAGCCAAAACCAGUUCAGAUGGCUUCAGUGGAGCAUUAGGAAACAACAGCAAUAGAUUAUUUUUCUACCUAAUUUUCCAGUUACUUACAUUUCAGUACUUUUCUGUCUGCACUUUGUUUUGCCGUAAGCCAGGGUUGUUUCCUUUGCAAGUCAGUAGGUGCCACAGCUUGCAGAACUAACCAGAGCUGUGUGUGCAGAUUUAAAAGGAAGCCCUUAGGUUCUGUGAAUACAUUGAAACAAUGAAAAUAAUUUCAUCCAUCUAGAAUUCAUUGCAAACUUCACUGCACAUUUUCCUCCUGCAUUUUAUAACUGGAUUUUAUUAGACAUAGUUUCUUCCCUAGAAUAUCCUCUCAUAGUAAUUGAGGUAUUCAGUUAGGUAGUUUGCAUAGCUGAGUCAUUAGGUUCUCAUACUAUGGCAGAAGUUUCUGAAUUUUGUCUCCUAAGGCUUUUGUCACCAUCAGAUAGUAAUCUUCUCAUCCUAGCUAAAAUUGAAGGUAUUGCUACAGCAAAAGACUAAUCAUAUUAUUUUCCCUAACUGCUAAAUGCACUUCCAUUAUAAUGUUACCUUCUGCUGUUGAAAUAAUUUCCUUUACAGAACAAACAAGCAACAAGUCAGACACCAGGUGGUGCCGAAGACCAGCCAGAAAAGAAAGUGAACCAAGGGUUAGGCAUGCUCAGAAAGAGUGAGAAGCAGAGAGCAACAGCAAGAUACUCAGUGUCUGAUUUCAGUAAAUUGAGAGCAACCUGCAGUAAAGUCAGCAGUAUGGCAAAAUUAGGAACUAAACCAUUUGGAGGGGGGAAGAUUAGUACAAAAAUAUAUCAUGAAUGAACAGUAAUCUGUUCUCAUCACCUAUAUUUAAGAUUCUGAUAUGCUUUUAAACAAGUGUAAGAGCUGCAGAUCAGAAAUAUCAUGUUUUAUAUGUAUAAUAUAUGGUUAGAAUGGGAGGGUAUAUUUUAUUUAGCAAUGCACAAGGCAAGUAAUUGUUUACAGCUGAUGUUAUGUGCUAUAUGCAUGUAUAUGGACUUUGCCACAUUAGACACUUUGAACUAUUUACGCAGUCAUCUGGUGAUGUUUGCAUGUGACAUCAAACACUCUUUGUGAACAGCCAUGUCCUGCUUGCCUUUAUACCAACAGUUAAUCUGAUUCUUCUGGUGUACUGGCAGAGGAAUCCAAGUCCUUCGUGUCUUCCUGUGAUGUUCCAAAGCUGACAUGGCUGUGUCUGAACAAGGACUGUGAGGGCAGCCGUAGCAAUCAUUUCAAGGAUUGCUUUGAGAAAACAACUGCAAGAUCCAUCUGGGAAGAAGGUGUCUGUCCAGAGGCUCGGUGUGCUUGAAGAGGGACAACAGCUGUGACUUCAUGCACUGAUUUGCAGGCCUGAAAAACAAGAUGCCUUGCUAUUGAUCCUCUGCAGCUGAAAUGAUGGUGUGCUUGAUGUAUCAGAGAUAAGAAGCUGGACAACAAGCUUGUAAGCAGGAUGCCUGUCAUUCCUGGAAGACUAACACUGGUCUUACAGUUGACCUAGACAACUGAGCCCUUACUUGCAUCAGCUCUGAAGGAUGAUUUUCAAUGGAAAUCCACACUGUAAAAAAAUAUCCAUAUGUAACAUUGAGGAGUAUGUGUUCUACAGCAUAAAAUGAAUCAUUAUAGUAGGGUGCCUUGAGUAUGGAUGAAGUAAUCAAACAAUUAAAAUGUCACGAUGGAAGAUGACUAGCAGUAGGGCAAAGUAUGACAUGAUAUAUGAGAAACUCAUCUAAUUUAAUUAAGUGGAAAGUAUGACUCAUAGCCUUUGGAGCUGGGCUGGGGAGUGACUGGAUUCCACAAAGUAGAGCAAUGUUCUGAUGCUGCAGUUUCUAGUUUCUCUACUGCUUGAAUAUGGACAUGUUAGUAAAAAGCUUGCCCUGACUGGAGGCUGUGGUUAAAACUAAUGGAGUAACUGUGGUCCUGGUUAGUGCAGGAGGCAGACUGGGACAGAAAUAGCUGUCAGAGAGUUAUCACUUCUCUACAGCCUGAAAUAGCAAAGAGAGUGGCAGUGUUUCAGCCUAUAAACCUGCAUGCACAAUGAUUAAGAUCUGGGCUACUAUACUGGCAGAAAUCUUUCUCAUGUGACCAGUCACACAAAGAAAAGGUUAUUACCCAUAGACACUCUCUCAGGCUUUCUGCAUCAUAAUUUUGUACCUAUAGAUAUAUAUGCUAUGAUUUUGUAUGUGAAUAUGUAGCCUCUGAAUAAUAAUACACGUAGGAGCUAUAAUAAAGUACCUGAGAAAAUACAUAUA